GAAGCCCGCACCCUGGGAAUUAAAUUCAGGCACCAGAACCGGAAGAACCUUCACCUGGUCUGACCUCAUUUUACAGGUGACACUGAGGGCCCAGAAGCAGACACAAGCUGUCAUCCUUUAGCCAUCAAACCGCAUCAGGAACACACAUCUCCUGCAUGUUUGAGAACUUCACCCCCCACCUCACAAUCUGUGGUCUAGAAGACCUUCUGGUGUCAAAACUUACCCAUCUUGGGCUCCAUGUACCUCCACCCAUCUGCUCUUAGCUCUCACAUGGUCACCAUGGGAAUUCUUUCAAAACAACCACAGCUGAAGGCAUUCUUCCUUCUCUUCACCUCCUGGAGUGCCUUACUUAACCUAACGCGAGGGUUUUCCACCCUCAGCUACCUCAGAAAUGCGCCAACAGCCUCCUCUCCCUGCCUGCUGCUCCCUGGGGCCACUUGUCCAGGUCAGGCAGAUCCAGAGAGACUAAGCCUAUGAGCCGGGCCCCUGGCCCGUGGACAUUAAUCCUGUGAGCAGAAGGGGCCUUGGGAAGGGUCCCCUGCUCUGCCUGUCCCUCAGGUCCUGCUGGCAUCCAUGCUCUGGCUCUUUAUGAGGACUGUGGUUGUCAAGGAGUCCAGAAACCUUAAGGAUUCAACAUGGCAACCAAGGGGAAAAGAGGAUGAGAAGGAACACGUACGUUCUGUCAUGUUUGGGACGGUUCUGGAAGGCACGCAAGGGCACAGCGGCUUUAAAAGGGGAAAUGACUUGCUGAAGAGGUCAAGGGAGACGAGAGACGAGAAAUCUUUUGAGGGCAACAGCAUGGAAGCUCCUUGAUAGCCUGAGGCAGGAAGUUGAGAAUAAGACAGGAGCUGCAGGCUUCCUGAGGAAGGGGGUUGGAAAGAGCCGCAGAGUGAGCAGGUCUGCAGGCCAGAGAUCUGGAACGGGAUCCCGACCUUCUCCUAGCUGGGCUUUCGUGGGCAGCACCGCCACCCAUCAGUCUGAGCUUCUUCUUGGGGACUCCGUGUCUCACCUUUGUCAUCUCGGCACAGAUGGCCUAAUUCCACAUAACCACCAAUGAACUGGAGCAGCUUGGAAAGUUUUCAUCAUUGGCAGAGAAGUACCAAGAGGUAAAUGGCUCUGAUCAUGUCCCCCUGAAGACU